GGCUGCGCGGCUCAGCCCCGGAACACCUAAGCAGGAAACUCCUUUUUUGGGUCACGGAAGUGCCAUAAAAGGCGUGGAGGAACUGCCAAAUAUGGUCGGCUCGGUUCCGGACGUCGCGAGAGCGGCGCUUCUGUUUAGCCGGGACCGCCCCCGGCGCGCUCCCGGAGCUGGCACGGCGCCGCGAGCGCCGGAGCCUGGCGGAGGCGUUUCCUCCGGAGCCCAGCCGUGCUACCGUUCGUGUCGCUAGUGGUCAGUGGGCUUUAAAUCACAAACAGCCGAGGUUUAGUUCUCAGAUCUCUGAGAACAGUCCUGCCUGAGAGAUGACAGAUUUACCAACUGGUAUUUUUUUCCAGGAGACAGAUGGUACAUGUAGCUUUGAAGCAACUGAAGGAGUCGGGAUUGCUGUGGUGCAGUCUUCCUAAGUAGUAAUUUCAAAGAAAGUCUAAGUCUGCACAAUUUGAUGUUUUAUUUAUUUUUUUUUUUUUUUUCUGAAGGGUAUUGUACAGCAAAUAUCCCAAUGGCAGGAAAGCGCAUUCAAUGUGUUUA